rnacentral:tRNA from 1 species
GGCAAGAUGGCCGAGCGGUCUAAGGCGCUGCUUUCAAGAAAUAAAUUCUUCUCCAAAAAUGGGGUGUACAGCAGUAUCGUGAGAUACAUGGGUUCGAAUCCCAUUCUUGUCA